CCUACGGGAGGCAGCAGUGAGGAAUAUUGGUCAAUGGACGAGAGUCUGAACCAGCCAAGUAGCGUGAAGGAUGACUGCCCUAUGGGUUGUAAACUUCUUUUAUAAAGGAAUAAAACGAGGCACGUGUGCCUUUUUGCAUGUACUUUAUGAAUAAGGAUCGGCUAACUCCGUGCCAGCAGCCGCGGUAAUACGGAGGAUCCGAGCGUUAUCCGGAUGUAUUGGGUUUAAAGGGAGCGUAGAUGGUUUGUUAAGUCCGUUGUGAAAGUUUGCGGCUCAACCGUAAAAUUGCAAUUGAUACUGGCAGUCUUGAGUACAGUUGAGGUAGGCGGAAUUCGUGGUGUAGCGGUGAAAUGCUUAGAUAUCACGAAGAACCCCGAUUGCGAAGGCAGCUUACUAAACUGUGACUGACAUUGAUGCUCGAAAGUGUGGGUAUCAAACAGGAUUAGAUACCCGUGUAGUC
rnacentral:rRNA from 1 species